UUUUUGAUGGAGGUGUAGGUGCCUGACGAGAAGGACCCUUUAGUACGAGAGGAACAGGGGUCCGUCGCCUCUAGUUGAUCAGUUGUCCGGCCGGGCAUUGCUGAGCAGCCACGCGGCAGAUGAUAAGAGCUGAAAGCAUCUAAGCUCGAAGCAUUCUUGAAAAAGAGGCACCCACGGAACGCUCGUAAAUGACGAGUUUGAUAGGAGCGGGAUGUAAGCAUCGAGGGUCUCCGAGAUGUUCAGUCCGUCGCUUACUAAAGUUCCUUCGACGUCGCUG
rnacentral:rRNA from 1 species